rnacentral:rRNA from 1 species
AUACGGAGGAUCCGAGCGUUAUCCGGAUUUAUUGGGUUUAAAGGGUGCGCAGGCGGCCAUUUAAGUCAGCGGUUAAAUCGUGGGGCUCAACCCCAUUCUGCCGUUGAUACUGGGUGGCUUGAUUGCGGUCGAGGUUGGCGGAAUUCGUUGUGUAGCGGUGAAAUGCAUAGAUAUGACGAAGAACACCGAUUGCGUAGGCAGCUGACCAGACCGCAAAUGACGCUCAUGCACGAAAGUGCAGGGAUCGAACAGGAUUAGAUACCCUGGUAGUCCGCACAGUAAACGAUGAAUACUUGUUUUCGGCGAUAUAAUGUCGGAGGCAAAGCGAAAGCGAUAAGUAUUCCACCUGGGGAGUACGCCGGCAACGGUGAAACUCAAAUGAAUUGACGGGG